AUUCCAUGAUGGGGGCACUUUUGUAAUAAUUUUUUGUACCUUUCCCAUACCUCAUACAAGGACUCAUCAUCCAUUUUUUGGAAAGUAGUGAUCUCGUUCCUUAACUU
rfam:Gossypium arboreum cultivar AKA8401 contig_24582_1, whole genome shotgun sequence.